rnacentral:rRNA from 1 species
CCUACGGGUGGCAGCAGUGGGGAAUAUUGGACAAUGGGGGCAACCCUGAUCCAGCCAUGCCGCGUGUGUGAAGAAGGCCCUCGGGUUGUAAAGCACUUUCAGUGAGGAAGAACGCCUGGUGGUUAAUACCCAUCAGGAAAGACAUCACUCACAGAAGAAGCACCGGCUAACUCCGUGCCAGCAGCCGCGGUAAUACGGAGUGUGCGAGCGUUAAUCGGAAUUACUGGGCGUAAAGCGCGCGUAGGUGGCUUGAUAAGCCGGUUGUGAAAGCCCCGGGCUCAACCUGGGAACGGCAUCCGGAACUGUCAAGCUAGAGUGCAGGAGAGGAAGGUAGAAUUCCCGGUGUAGCGGUGAAAUGCGUAGAGAUCGGGAGGAAUACCAGUGGCGAAGGCGGCCUUCUGGACUGACACUGACACUGAGGUGCGAAAGCGUGGGUAGCAAACAGGAUUAGAUACCCUUGUAGUC